GUUUGAUCCUGGCUCAGAACGAACGUUGGCGGCGUGGAUUAGGCAUGCAAGUCGAACGAGAAAGAACUCUUCGGAGUUUGAGUACAGUGGCGAACGGGUGAGUAACGCGUGGGAAACCUGCCUUAGAGUGGGGGAUAACGUUCCUAACGGAGCGCUAAUACCGCAUAACACCGAGACCGGGCAUCCGGAUUCGGUCAAAGAUGGCCUCUACAUGUAAGCUGUCGCUUUAAGAUGGUCCCGCGUCCGAUUAGCUUGUUGGUGGGGUAAUGGCCUACCAAGGCGACGAUCGGUAGCCGGCCUGAGAGGGUGUCCGGCCACACUGGGACUGAGAUACGGCCCAGACUCCUACGGGAGGCAGCAGUCGAGAAGCUUCCGCAAUGGGGGAAACCCUGACGGAGCGACGCCGCGUGGGUGAGGAAGGUCUUCGGAUCGUAAAACCCUGUCAAGAGGGACGAAAUACGGAUUGGUUAAUACCCUUUCCGCUUGACGGUACCUCUAAAGGAAGCUCCGGCUAACUCCGUGCCAGCAGCCGCGGUAACACGGAGGGAGCAAACGUUGUUCGGAAUCACUGGGCGUAAAGGGCGCGUAGGCGGCUUCUUAAGUCGGGGGUGAAAACCAGUGGCUCAACCACUGGCCUGCCUCCGAAACUGAGAAACUUGAGUCCGUGAGAGGAAAGCGGAAUUCCUGGUGUAUCGGUGAAAUGAGUUGAUAUCAGGAGGAACACCGGUGGCGAAGGCGGCUUUCUGGUACGGUACUGACGCUGAGGUGCGAAAGCAUGGGGAGCAAACGGGAUUAGAUACCCCGGUAGUCCAUGCCGUAAACGAUGAGAACUAGGUGUCGGGGGAUCAACCCCCUCGGUGCCGAAGCUAACGCAUUAAGUUCUCCGCCUGGGGAGUACGGUCGCAAGGCUGAAACUCAAAGGAAUUGACGGGGGCCCG
rnacentral:rRNA from 1 species